AGUCUCUGCUUUCUCCUCCCCAGGUUGGCACACGAGGGGCUGGUGGCUCACGUCACAAAGAUGGAGUGGAUGUUGAAGAUGAUCCGACUUGCUCUUGGCCAGCUUCCUCACCUUCUAGCAAGGAUCAGACUUCUCCUAGCCAUGGAGAAGGUUGCGAUUUUGGAGAGGAAGAAGGUGGCCCUGGGCUUCCAUACCCAUGUCAAUUCUGUGACAAGUCGUUUAGCCGCCUCAGCUACCUAAAGCACCAUGAGCAGAGUCACAGCGACAAACUGCCUUUCAAAUGCACCUACUGCAGUAGGCUGUUCAAACACAAGCGCAGCCGAGAUCGCCACAUAAAACUCCACACCGGGGACAAGAAGUACCACUGCAGUGAAUGUGAUGCUGCGUUUUCCAGAAGUGAUCACUUGAAGAUCCACUUAAAGACUCACACGUCCAACAAGCCAUAUAAAUGUGCCAUUUGUCGCCGUGGGUUUCUGUCCUCUAGUUCCUUACACGGACACAUGCAGGUUCACGAGAGGAACAAGGACGGCUCUCAGUCCGGUUCCAGGAUGGAGG
rnacentral:sRNA from 1 species